rnacentral:ncRNA from 1 species
AUCAAUAAAUUAAAAGAUUACUUCAUUAAACAAAUACGUGCUUAUAUGGAUGGCAAAGUUCCUACUGCAACAGUAGUUAAGGGAACAAGCGCAUCAAGUAAUACAAAAUCAACUGUAGCUGGUGCAUGGAAACGUAACAGUUAUGGUACAUGGUAUAUGAGCGAGAAGGCAGUAUUCACAAACGGUAACUCUCCAAUCGCAGUUCGUACUGUUGGUCCAUUUAGAAGUUGUCC